rnacentral:lncRNA from 1 species
UAGUUGAAACUUGACAAAUUGAUGGCUAGCUCUUCCUUCUCCUCCUUGAUUGCUCCUUGGAUUCUUCUUGAUAGUGGAAUGGAUGGAUGAUGGACUUCUUGUUGCUAGUGGAUGAAUGGAAUAAUGGGAGUAGUGGUGGUGGAAGAUGAUAGUUGUGGUGGUGGUGAUGGAGGUGAAAAAGUUUUUUUUUUCUCUUGAAAU